rnacentral:rRNA from 1 species
UACAGGGGGUGCAAACGUUGCUCGGAAUUAUUGGGCGUAAAGGGCGCGUAGGCGGCUCGGCACGUCCGUUGUGAAAUCGCCCGGCUCAACUGGGCGGGGUCAGCGGAUACGGUCGAGCUUGAGCAAGCUAGGGGGCAAUGGAAUUCCCGGUGUAGUGGUGGAAUGCGUAGAUAUUGGGAAGAACACCGGUGGCGAAGGCGGCGACCUGGUCCGUGACUGACGCUGAGGCGCGAAAGCGUGGGGAGCAAACAGG